CGUAGGGUGCGAGCGUUAAUCGGAAUUACUGGGCGUAAAGCGUGCGCAGGCGGGCUUUAAGCCAGACGUGAAAUCCCCGGGCUUAACCUGGGAAUGGCGUUUGGGACUGGAAGUCUGGAGUGCGGCAGAGGAGACUGGAAUUCCUGGUGUAGCAGUGAAAUGCGUAGAUAUCAGGAGGAACACCGAUGGCGAAGGCAGGUCUCUGGGCUGACACUGACGCUCAUGCACGAAAGCGUGGGGAGCAAACAGGAUUAGAUACCCUGGUAGUCCACGCCCUAAACGAUGUCGACUGGUUGUUGGGGGUUUGACACUCUCAGUAACGAAGCUAACGCGUGAAGUCGACCGCCUGGGGAGUACGGCCGCAAGGUUA
rnacentral:rRNA from 1 species